rnacentral:misc_RNA from 1 species
GUGAAUCAUCGAAUUUUUGAACGCAAAUUGCGCUUCCUAGCAUCACGGGAAGUAUGCCUGUUUGAGGGUCAGUAUUAACAAAAAAAUCGGGUUGGUUGCAAAUUGUGACGUGUACGGAGGUUGGGCUAUCUUAACUUUUUUGGUUAAGGGGCUUAAAAUUGACCUUUUUUGCGCAUUUUUAGACGUACAUAUAUUUUUUUUUUUUUCGUAUAUUCUUAAUUCCAACAUCUUA